rnacentral:rRNA from 1 species
UACGUAGGGUGCAAGCGUUGUCCGGAAUUAUUGGGCGUAAAGAGCUCGUAGGCGGUUUGUCGCGUCUGCUGUGAAAACUCGGGGCUCAACCCCGGGCCUGCAGUGGGUACGGGCAGACUAGAGUGCGGUAGGGGAGACUGGAAUUCCUGGUGUAGCGGUGAAAUGCGCAGAUAUCAGGAAGAACACCCGUGGCGAAGGCGGCUCUCUGGGACGGUACUGACGCUGAGACGCGAAAGCGUGGGGAGCGAACAGG